CCUACAGGCGGCAGCAGUGGGGAAUAUUGGACAAUGGGGGGAACCCUGAUCCAGCCAUGCCGCGUGUGUGAAGAAGGCCCUCGGGUUGUAAAGCACUUUCAGUGAGGAAGAACGCCUGGUGGUUAAUACCCAUCAGGAAAGACAUCACUCACAGAAGAAGCACCGGCUAACUCCGUGCCAGCAGCCGCGGUAAUACGGAGGGUGCGAGCGUUAAUCGGAAUUACUGGGCGUAAAGCGCGCGUAGGUGGCUUGAUAAGCCGGUUGUGAAAGCCCCGGGCCCAACCUGGGAACGGCAUCCGGAACUGUCAAGCUAGAGUGCAGGAGAGGAAGGUAGAAUUCCCGGUGUAGCGGUGAAAUGCGUAGAGAUCGGGAGGAAUACCAGUGGCGAAGGCGGCCUUCUGGACUGACACUGACACUGAGGUGCGAAAGCGUGGGUAGCAAACAGGAUUAGAUACCCUAGUAGUC
rnacentral:rRNA from 1 species